rnacentral:tRNA from 1 species
GCUAAAAUAGUUUAUUAUUUAGAAUUUGUAACUUGUAAUUACAGGGUUUUUUUAGCA